UGGGGAAUCUUGCACAAUGGGGGAAACCCUGAUGCAGCGACGCCGCGUGAGCGAUGAAGGUUUUCGAAUCGUAAAGCUCUUUCCUAUGGGAAGAUAAUGACGGUACCAUGGGAGGAAGCCCCGUCUAACUACGUGCCAGCAGCCGCGGUAAUACGUAGGGGGCGAGCGUUGUCCGGAAUUACUGGGCGUAAAGGGUUCGCAGGCGGCAUUGCAAGUCCGAUGUAAAAGGCGAAGGCUCAACCUUCGUAAGCAUCGGAAACUGUCAAGCUUGAGGGAAGGAGAGGCAAGUGGAAUUCCUAGUGUAGCGGUGGAAUGCGUAGAUAAUAGGAGGAAUACCGGUGGCGAAGGCGACUUGCUGGACUUAAACUGACGCUGAGGAACGAAAGCGUGGGUAGCAAACAGG
rnacentral:rRNA from 1 species